GUGAGCGCUUUUUUUGCCCUUUGCGUUUUAAGGAUGGGGUGAUGCAUUACUUUUAGUGCGCAUUAUGCUUUUAACUACCUUGGGUUGGGGACAUGAAUGAUAUUGUUCACAAAAUAUUGUAGGGUGGUGGAAAUGUUAAAGGUUGAUUUAAGUGUCAUGUUUAAAAAAUCUAAUAUUACAACUAGGCCAAGUUUAUGAUUCAAUAGCGAGUGUUGAAUACUUGAAUGGUUAUGGGGGAGGGGCGCAUGUUUAUAUAAUGACAAAAGUUGAAAUGAGAUGUUAAGAUAGAUGUUGGAAAUAAAAGAGAGGGCCAAAUAAGAAAAAAAAAGGUGCAUUCAUAGGGAGGUGGAAGUGGCAUUUGUUGAUAAGGUAGCUAGUUCUCCUAAUAUAAUACGGUCAUGUCCAAUUUAGAUAUAUGAAGAAACAUCAUGGAGUAAAUAAAUUAUAAUGGCAAAGAAGAGAACAAUGUUGAAUGUGGGUUAAAUUGUUAAGAAAAAAUGUUCGUGUAAUAAUAUUUCUCAGGAAGUUUGGCCUAAAUGGAACAGAAAGGCAAAGCUAAUUAGUUGAGGAAUAUUAAUUAGUUGAGUAGGGUAGCAAACCUCUUUGUCUAUCCUCUGUUGAAUAUUGGAACUUUACCAAAAAUUGUUGGCCCCUAGUGAUUCACAAUUUAGGUCAGACGACCUCAAUUAUGGAUCAUUAGCGAUUUGGGAUGUCAAAAUUAGUGGUACAACUUCCAAGAAGGAACAAUCAUGGGUGGAGAAUCAAACAAUUCAGUCACACAAAUAUCAGAUAAUUUUGUUAUUAUUAUGCUGCGAACGUUGCGUUUUGGAUAUGUUAGUAGCACUGAAGUAGUUAACAUGGCAUUUUUAAUUGAAACUAAUUUAUUGUACUUACAGGGAAUUCAAAAUCUUUGUGGUUAUUCUUUGUAUAUUCCAUAUAUAAUAUUUUGCUUUCCUCAGUAUGCAAUCCACAAAAGCAUUUUAUAUUUUGGAUAAUAAUGUUUUGCUCAAUAAAAAGCAAUCCGCAUAAGCCUAUCGCAUUACUAAACAAGAGUGAUUGAUUCAAUAGGUGACAAAGUCUACUGUUAAGUUUUGUGGAACUAUGUUUCUCUUUUAACUUUAUUCUUUAAUGAUUUACUGCAGUAAGAUAAAUUCUGUACAUCUUAUUGUAAUUUCCAAUAGAAAUAUAACGAAAAGGCACUUGUAUUUAACAAGGCACAUUGGUUAAUUUUUUUUUCAUUGUUAAUACAGGGAUGCCAAGGAAAGAUUGACU
rnacentral:misc_RNA from 1 species